rnacentral:rRNA from 1 species
UUUAUGGAGAGUUUGAUCCUGGCUCAGGAUGAACGCUGGCGGCGUGCCUAAUACAUGCAAGUCGAGCGAACGGACGAGAAGCUUGCUUCUCUGAUGUUAGCGGCGGACGGGUGAGUAACACGUGGAUAACCUACCUAUAAGACUGGGAUAACUUCGGGAAACCGGAGCUAAUACCGGAUAAUAUUUUGAACCGCAUGGUUCAAAAGUGAAAGACGGUCUUGCUGUCACUUAUAGAUGGAUCCGCGCUGCAUUAGCUAGUUGGUAAGGUAACGGCUUACCAAGGCAACGAUGCAUAGCCGACCUGAGAGGGUGAUCGGCCACACUGGAACUGAGACACGGUCCAGACUCCUACGGGAGGCAGCAGUAGGGAAUCUUCCGCAAUGGGCGAAAGCCUGACGGAGCAACGCCGCGUGAGUGAUGAAGGUCUUCGGAUCGUAAAACUCUGUUAUUAGGGAAGAACAUAUGUGUAAGUAACUGUGCACAUCUUGACGGUACCUAAUCAGAAAGCCACGGCUAACUACGUGCCAGCAGCCGCGGUAAUACGUAGGUGGCAAGCGUUAUCCGGAAUUAUUGGGCGUAAAGCGCGCGUAGGCGGUUUUUUAAGUCUGAUGUGAAAGCCCACGGCUCAACCGUGGAGGGUCAUUGGAAACUGGAAAACUUGAGUGCAGAAGAGGAAAGUGGAAUUCCAUGUGUAGCGGUGAAAUGCGCAGAGAUAUGGAGGAACACCAGUGGCGAAGGCGACUUUCUGGUCUGUAACUGACGCUGAUGUGCGAAAGCGUGGGGAUCAAACAGGAUUAGAUACCCUGGUAGUCCACGCCGUAAACGAUGAGUGCUAAGUGUUAGGGGGUUUCCGCCCCUUAGUGCUGCAGCUAACGCAUUAAGCACUCCGCCUGGGGAGUACGACCGCAAGGUUGAAACUCAAAGGAAUUGACGGGGACCCGCACAAGCGGUGGAGCAUGUGGUUUAAUUCGAAGCAACGCGAAGAACCUUACCAAAUCUUGACAUCCUUUGACAACUCUAGAGAUAGAGCCUUCCCCUUCGGGGGACAAAGUGACAGGUGGUGCAUGGUUGUCGUCAGCUCGUGUCGUGAGAUGUUGGGUUAAGUCCCGCAACGAGCGCAACCCUUAAGCUUAGUUGCCAUCAUUAAGUUGGGCACUCUAAGUUGACUGCCGGUGACAAACCGGAGGAAGGUGGGGAUGACGUCAAAUCAUCAUGCCCCUUAUGAUUUGGGCUACACACGUGCUACAAUGGACAAUACAAAGGGCAGCGAAA